rnacentral:lncRNA from 1 species
CAAAUACUUUGUAUUGACCUCUCCAAGUCGAGCAAAGAUGGAAAUUCUUUACAUUAGGCAACUGUACUUGUUAUCACAGAGGAGAGGAAGAGAAAUAAGAGACACAGAGGGAGAAGAAAAAGAGAGAGAGCCUGCUAGGAAGAGGAAGAAGCAAAGGACUCACUAUUUAUGUGACAUACUGUAAUUCAUCCAAAGGUUUCUAAAAGUACCAAGUGGGGCAAGAGAGA